rnacentral:lncRNA from 1 species
UCUUAUUUUAUGUGCUCUUGAAUUUACAAAGAUAUUUUUUAAAACAUUUAUUUAUCUAUGUUUAAAUUCCUGAGGAAAUGUACUUAUUGGCAGGUCCAUGGAAUCUGAGAAGAAAACUACCUUCCUUGACAAAUGUAUAGUAAGUGUCCAAUGAGCAACUUGUCAUAAUUGGAUCCGCAGUUUCAGGCUGGGUUGAGGGAAGUGAAAAAGCCUACAGGGAGUGAGCAUUAUGUUGUAAACACUGUGUUAAGUGAUUUACAUGCGUUAUUUAAUGUGAUAUACACAAGACUUUGACAAGUUACUCUGCUUUAUGCAUGAGAAAAUUGAGAUUCACAGUCAAUAAGUUAUGCGUCUGUUUCCUAGUCAGUAGAAAGUUGCAGAGUGGAACUUAGGAGCGAUACUUGUUUAAACCUAAAACAUGCUAUUCUCAAGAAACUACUCUAUAUUUAUGUCAGGAUAAUCCCAGGACAGGAUAUAACUUUAAAAUAUAUCUGAAAGGUAAAAAGCACAGACUUGGGACUCAGAUAGACCUGUAUUUCAUAUUCAACCUGGAUAAUUUCAAGUGCUCAUUGGGAAAAUACAGAACCUUUUAAACAUCAGUUUCCUCAUAUGUGAAAUGGGUGUAAACUCACCUAUUACGCAGAAUUGUUAUGAAGGUCAAACAAUGUAGGUAAGGCACCUAGCACAGUGCCGGGCACUUAGAAAGUGUCCCCUAUGCAACAACUGCUUUCAUUAUCAGUGUCAACUCUGUCAUCAUCACCACAGUUUCUGUGAGGCUCCCUAUUCUUUCCACAAGUAGAUUCCCCUCUCUUUAUGUCGUAAACCUUACCAUUAUUACAGUAUUUAUCACACUGACCUUUAAUAUUGGUAAUAAGCGUAAAAUGUAACAUUCUAGCAGAUCGUAAAGGUAAUUACUAUAAUAGUAACAAAUAUUAUUUCAUUUAACAAAUGAUUUUAUUUCAUUUCAUUACUUUAUUAACUUGUUCAACAAUAAAUGAAGAGCUUUGGUUUGCAGCUCUAAAGGUUUCUUCCCCCAUGCACACAGAUAACACAUAAUUCACAAACAAACAAAACCAAAUAAUUUCAGGUAAUGACAAAUAUUAUAUAGAAAAAUAAAAUAGAGUGAAGGGAGAUAUUUUAGAUAGGCCAUUUGAGCAUUCGCUCUUCUGAAGGGACCCUUGAGAAGAGACUUAAAUGAAGGCAAAGAAUGAGCCAAGCCCAUGUCCAGGAAAGGUCUACAAUAGGCAGAGGUAACAGGUAUAAAAACCUGGGUGUUGCAAGGGUAGUGAGCCAGAAGGAAGAGAGAAAGAGAUGAAAUUCAGAAGAUGGAUGGUAGAGUUCAAACUUAGAAGUUUGGAUGGUAAUCUAAAUGUUACGGGCAUCUGUUGGGGAAUCUUGAGUAGUGAGGAAUACAAUUUGAUUUAUAUUUUUUAAAGCCCCUUCUGGCUCUUCUUUGAGAGAGAAGAGGAAGGAAAGAGGUCAGUCAUAGAGCAACAUGGCUAUUUUCCAAGACACAUAAAAUUAUGGCUUUGACUAGGGACUAUAAGGGGAUGACAAGUACUCAGAUUUGGGAAAUAUUUUGUAGGUAAACAUAAUAGGACUUGUUGCUGGAUUGAACAUGAGAUUUCAAACUUAUCCUAUAUUUCUUCAUAAAAAGACUGUUGAUCUCAUUGUGUAUACAGCAACAACUGAGAAAUUUAUCAAAGCAACAAACCACUAUGACUAAGCAAAAGUUUGUGAAAAAAUGUUUUUUGUUAAAACAUGACCAUAUAAUAUAUGCAGAACCAUAUAUACUUCUUAUAAAUAGUUUAAAUGAUAUGCAAAGUUAAAAUAGCUUUUGUAAGUUAAGCUCAAGGGGGCCUUGGCAAUAUUCAUUAUGAAAUGUUUGAUCACCUACCUCCUGCAUCUCUUAGUACCAACACCCCCUCUCCUGCUAUUCUUUAAUACAGACAAUUAACAUGUUUUUCUACCUUCUGUAAAAUGUUUUACUAAUACUGUUUUCAAGGCCCGGUUCUCCUUCUAAUCAGAUUGUCAUACAGCCUGCGUACUUUCUUUUUUCUUUUUUUUUCCCGAGACAGAGUCUUGCUCUAUCACCCUCCAGGCUGGUGUGCAGUGGAGCAAUCUCGGCUCAGUGCAACCUCUGCCUACUGGUUCAAAUGAUCCUCCUGUCUCAGCCUCCCAAGCAGCUGGGAUUACAGGCACACCCCACCAGGCCUGGCUAAUUUUUGUAUUUUCAGUAGAGACAGGGUUUCACCAUGUUGGCCAGGGUGGUCUUCAACUCCUGACCUCAAGUGACCUGCCCGCCUUGGCCUCCCAAAGUGCUGGAAUUACAGGCGUGAGCCACUGUGCCUGGCCCAGCCUGCAUAUUUUCUAAAAAUCAACUCAAAUAUCCAUUUGUUUAAAAGACUAUUUAAAUAUUUUUGGUACAUAGCAUAUACUUGCUUGAUAUUUGGCUAAAGGGAUGUCCACAUGAAAUCGAGGCUCACGAUUAUCUUGAGAAGAGCCACUCUUUAAAAGCAAUUAAAUAGAAAAAUGGAAGAUAAUCAUGUGAUGCUAGUCAAGCCCUCUUCCCUUCCUAGAUGGCUGCACUGGGUAGACAGAGAUUCUUGGUAUGUUAGGGCAGUAACUGUGUUCAAGGAGGAAAAUAGGUACUAGCCUGUCAGUCUAGUAGAGGAGAUGGCUGAAAGAGAUAAUACAUCUCAGUUCAUGGGUCUGCCUUAAAUAAGAACUCUGGAGCUAUCCCUGUGUCCCAAGGAAUUAAUCUCUCUAUUUCAGUAUGUGUGUUCUGAUCAACUCAUUGUAGCUAUUAUUCAUCUCCAGCUAUCAAUUGGAUCACUUGAGGUCAUCUCUGUAUCUGGAAUGGUGUCAUACAAGAAGGGUCUUGGCGGUGGUCUGACCUGCCAUGGACUGUCCAUCUGCCCGGACUACAGCGAGGUGAAGUGACUGACAGAUUCAGAAUUCGAUGAGGGAGAAGAGUCAGGCCUGAGACCAGUGCGAAGACAAUUUUUCCAAGCUUCCAAGGAGCCAAGCUGAAGAAAGAGUGAAACAAUGGAGGCGCCUUUCUUUCUUGAUCUUGGGAGAAGGAAUGCUCUCUGACAUUGGGAACUUCAGCCUGUUCCAACCUGUUUGCCUCCCAGAUGCACCUUCAAGACAAACUAAUUAUCUUGGGGAAUUAGAUAACAGCCUGAUACUUUCAUAUUCCUGUUUCCAAAUUUUGAUCAAUGUGCAAAAUAUAUUUUUGCCACCACUUAUAUAAAUCUUAAUAUUAUGGCCUAAUGCAGACAUGAAAGUGUAAUGGAUUCCUGAAUACGACUGCUUAUAUUCAAUCCUCACCACCAUUACUUAGUGCUUGUGCCUUGGACAAAUUACCUAACCACACUAGAACUUGUUAUUCUUAAUUAUACUAUGAAAUUAAUGAUAGUAUCCUCAUAAGGGUGGUGGUGAGGAUUCAAUAAGAUGAUUCAUACAAAUAAUUUAGUAAAGGGUCAGGCAGAUGGUAAACACUUAAUACAUGUUAGAAAUGAUGGCAAAGAGAAGGAGAGUGGUGAUGAUGAUGAAAGUGAUCAUAAUAUUUGACUACUGAGUUGAGCAAAUUCUUAGUGUAGGGCUAUGUACCUCUUACUAGAGGUAUGAUACUUUGCACAGCGUAAGUCUAACAACAAAUAUAUAACAUUCAUGAACUCACAUUUGAACAAGAGUUGGAUGUGUUUAUGGACUUUAUAAUUCUUUAUAUAAUGAAUAAUGUAUAGCAAUUUUAUAUACUUUAUAUAGAUACAGCAGUAGUUUGGGAUUGGAACUGUUGCUGAUAUACUUACUGAUUAACUUACUGCUGAUUUGGGAAUUUUAAGACUUGAAGGACACCAUCAAUGGUUCUUAUAUACAGAAAGGCUGAAAAAAUGUGAAAUUACAUUUAGUAAAGGAAUAGGAAAGUGAGAAAUGUCAUUUAUUAAAAUUCUACUAUGUGCAAGGUACUGGACUUGGACAAUCUCAUGUUUCAAAUCACCUAAUCUUCACAGUCUACUAUUGUCUGUGAGGCAAAUAUGUUUAUUAACCUCACAUGGAUGAGAAAAUUAGACUGCAGAUAAAGGUUUCAAACCUUCUGUAAUAUCAUGUAUAUAUUAAGGAUAUGGAGAAAAGAUUCAACAUCAGAUAUCCACUGCAAAGGCAGAACUGAUCUCCUUCAUUCCCCUACUUGAAUUAUUGCCUUCACCUAAAGAAGACAGAAACAUGAAGAGUUAAUAGCAGGUAGCUUCUCUUUAAGAAAGCUGCUUGUAAGUGACUUGAUAAUUUCCCAGUGAAAAUGACAUUUAUCUUGGAAAAACGGGGUCCAAACCCAGUGACAUUUUAAAGUUUGUAAUUGGGUUCAAAUGUGCGCAUGUACAAAACUAUGCCACCACAGAAAAAGCUGUCUUCUAAGGGUGCCAAGGAAGCGAUUGAUUAAAUUUGAGAUCCAUGCUUGACCUAGGCAAUUUGCCUAGUCUUUUGUAGUCACAGUGUUCCCAUUUACAAAAUAAGGGCUAUUUAAUUUAACAAAUGAUUAUUAGGCUUGAAAUAAGUAAUAGAGUAGAAAGUGCUGAUAAACUCUUAAACAUUAUACAAAUGACAGCUAUUAUGAUCAUAUCAGCUCAAGACAGAACUAGAAGCUAAAAAAUUCUUAUGAAGAUUAAGACCUACUACAUUUAUCAAUCCAGUGAAUGCUAAAAUACCAUCUUUUUAUUGUAAACAUUGCUCAG